CUCUCCUGACUAACCCCUCUGAGAACAUGCAGCCCCCACUGACCGAGACUCCCACCCCCUCACUGUGAACGGCUCCAUCUAAUCAACCUCCAGCCCCGACUCUGAUCCCCACCCGCCUGCCCGGACCUGGCCUGCCCCUCACCCCCCAGAACUAACCCAGCCCUUCCUGCCAUGCGCCUGACCUCCCUUCCUGCCUUCACGACUGACCCCCAUCCUCACCCCCACCGACAUCUCGCUCCCUGCCUACCCUUGUGGUUUAUAAACAUUUCAGUCAAGAAAAUGGGGUGUACACUCAGGGUACUCUUCGGGGUACAAGAUGGGAUGAGAAAGGCUCAGCCGCCCAGUCACUCGUGAAUUGGCCAGCUUAUAAAGCUCCCACGUGUCCCCCACGCAGGGAAUUCAGCAGUGAGCAGAAUCAGCACCCCCACCUCCCAGGAGCUCUCAGUUCCGUGGGAGAGGCAGGCACAGAGUCACCAUUGGAGGUGACAUUUGCAGAAGUGGAAGUGGCACGGGGUCUCGCAGUGAGGGGAGCACACAGCACUCCCGAGUAAUUGAGCAGCUACCUACUGAGGGGGUGCAGUUCCAGGCACUGGAGAUUUGACACUGCACAAAGCAAGAACCUGCCGUCACAGAGUUUACACUCUAGAGCGUGGGCCGGCACACUACAGCCCGUGGGCCAAAUCCGUCAGCCAGCUGUUUUGUAAAUAAAGCUUUAUUGGAACACAGCCACUGUCAUACAAUAACAGUAGAGUGAAACAGUCGUGACGGAGACUCUGUGGCCCCCAGAGCCCAAAAUAGCGACUGUCUGACCUUUUACAGGAAAAGUUUGACAUCCCCCGAUUGGGAGGAAACAGGAAAAUAAAUAAGGAAAGCAAA